rnacentral:lncRNA from 1 species
CCCUCCGCGAGCCCCGCCCCUCCGCGAGCCCCGCCCCCUCCUGAGCCCCGCCCUCAUCCCGCCCCCGCAGCCUCGCGGGAGUUAGCGGAGCCCCCGGGGCAUCCCCGGAGAGGGCGAGCCCGGGAGGCUCCCGGGGGGCGGCGGCCGGUCCCAAGCCCGCGGCGGCGAGGGGAAGGCCCCUGCUGGCGGGCGGGGUCCUGGCGCUCCCUUGCGGACUGACCCGGUUCCUCGAGAAGGUAACGACAGCGUCUCCGGUGUCCGCUCCUCGGGCCGGGGCCGCCUCCCCCGCGGGGGCCGCCUGGGGGCGCUGGUUCCGAAGCCCGCCGGGCCGCGGAGCGCCUUCGCCAGGCCCCGGGGUGCAGCAGCCGCGCCGCGAAGCCCGCCCCCCCCGCGAGUGUGCUCGGUGACCGACGCGGAAGAUCGCUGCCUUCUCUCUGCCUAGGACCGUGUCUGUGGCCGCUCACCCAGCCCGCCCUCUUCGGCCCGCUGGGACUGACAGGUCCCUGAGGUCUCCAAAACUACGAGAUCAAAGAGGAGGAAGAGUCUGCAUUCUCUACAUUUGCCUUUGGAGAAUGCAGGAAUCAGAGAUUUGGCCCCUGCGACUGAUUUUAAGUGUCCCUCCGAGUGUCCCGGGGUGCAGCUUUGUGGAGACUCCGGAGGAAGACUCUGGUCUUGGGAUUGGGGUCCCACAGCGUGGGUGAGAGAGGGGUUUGCUUUUUUGGUUUUGGUUUUCCUCUUCGGAGCUAGGCGAGGAAUCGCAUCUAGUGAGGGUCUGCCGCAGAAGCAAGUCUCAGCCAAUGUUGAGAGCAAAGAUUUCAAAAAGCUGAAAGUACUGAUGUUCAUUCAGCCCAAAGAAGCCAAGAAAAAUCUCAGAGAGACUCAACUAUAUCUAAAGAAGAAUAGGUCAUUUCGUAGUUUGCAAAAUGAAGUGCAGCUCCAACUUUGCCAGACAACAUUCUAUCAAGAUUGGCUGUUGGCAAUUGAAACAAAAGACAUUAAACAUACAGAUGUCAUGACAGAGAAUCCCCCGGUGACCUGCUUGGAAACCUACUCAGGUAAGGCAGUAAUUGCCUUAACUUUAUUUUUCAGUUUUCUCUGAGAAGUAUGUUAUCUUGUCUAUUUCUGUUUUUCCCUUACACUGUUUAAAAAUUCUUAAAUUAGGGUUGAAACUCAGUAAGAUUGAAAGUAACUUCUAUCUGAAAUCAUACUAAUGAGUGAAAACACAGGAAGGGGAUCUGUGAUUAAUUUAUGAGAAAAAUGGAUUUGAUUACUUUACAAAUGAACGAAGAUGUGGCAUUGGCUAAUUUUAUUCUUUUCAGAAAUUUCUUAAAACAAUAUCAACUAGUAUUUAAAGCAGUAUGACAUACACAUAUAUACAACUUGCAGCAUUUCAUAUCUGCAUGGUCCACUUAAAAAAUCAGACCUAAAAUUAUUUGAGACACUAGAGAUAAAAUGAGUAGUGAUUAUUCCUUUUAUGAUACUAACUGAAAUGUCACUUAUUUUUAUAUUCAGAAACUUACUCCAGGUCUCUUUUGAUCAUGUCAACAUUUUUUAAAAAGAUCAAAUCAUACCAUUUUCUUCUCUUUAUUUCUUCCAAUUACCUUUGACCAAAUGCAUAAGAUUUUUUUAUUUGAAUAUGUCUAUGUAAGGAAACUGUGUAUUUUUCAUAAGUACCAGAUAUCUUUUGAAAAUACAAUAAUGUUUUAAUUCAUUUUUAAAUAGAUUGAAAACCAUCUGGUGACUAAAAAUGGUUUUACAGUUUUACUGUGUAGAAAUAAUAAAAUUUACUUUAUCUGCCCUGUUAUUUUUAUAGCUAUCAUUUAAUUUUAGGUUCUGUUUUUAUAAAACCUCAUAUGUCAGGAAGCAUUUGCUUUUCCGCCAGCUUUGCCCUGAUGUGAUUCAUAAAUAUGUCAAGAAAAUCUAAUAAAUCUUUCAUUAGUCUGUAUUAAUAUUUUAAUUGCAAUUUAAGGAACAAAGAAAAGAGUCUGCCCUCAACUGACUAAAAUUUUUUUAUCAUCAUGUUUCAAAUUAGAAGUAACAGUUCUGCUUUUCUGUAAUGGCUUUGCCCUCAGAACAUCUAUCAUGAAAAAUCUAGCCCUGUGGGCAUUGAUGUAACUGCAAAAAGUUAUUGACUUUUGCCUUUUAAAAAAUUCUCUUAUUACUUUUCUCAAAAGGAAUUUAUCUCUAAAGGCUUUGAGGUAAACCUGUGUCUGCAUGUUAACCUUCCCUGGACUGUGCUGAGAGAAUUCACAGACAAUGUUUCCACCCACAGUGCCUCCUGAUCUCAAGAGUUGAAGAGAUGGAACGUAGCUUCUUUCGCAAAACACAAAAACAGUUAAAAAAAUAAACAACAAAAUCCCAAAACAUUAGCAAAAGUGUCUCUUGGACAUACAAAUUUCUUGUUGGCCAUAAGUCCAUAUCACUAUGUGCAUUGGAAAACCCUUAAGGGGAAGGAUUACAAUAAUGAUGGUUAUUAUUCCUGAAACUAUUCAAAAUUAAUUUUAUCAAAAAAAUUAAUUUUACCAAGUAAUUAG